UACGUAGGCAGCGAGCGUUGUUCGGAGUUACUGGGCGUAAAGAGUGUGUAGGCGGUUCGCUAAGUUUGGUGUGAAAUCUCCCGGCUUAACUGGGAGGGUGCGCCGAAUACUGGUGGGCUUGAGUGCGGGAUGGGAAAGCGGAAUUCCUGGUGUAGCGGUGAAAUGCGUAGAUAUCAGGAGGAACACCUGUGGUGUAGACGGCUUUCUGGACCGCCACUGACGCUGAGACACGAAAGCGUGGGUAGCAAACAGG
rnacentral:rRNA from 1 species